CAUCAACAACAAGAUUUGCAUUUGGUUGGGUGGGUUCUUCCCUGUGGUACUGUCAAAUAGCUGGUGAAAAUCUAAGAGUUUUGAUAUGUUUGCCUGCAUUUGGGAAGCUUCACAAAAAAGUAUUGCAGAUGCCUUCUGUGGGUUUGGGUUAUCAAAUGUUGAACUAAGCGAGCUUGUCUUGUCCUGUGCUCCCUUUUUGCUUUGUAUAAACAUUCUUUUUGGAAAAAGGAAUAUAUAUAUAUAUUAAGGAAUCAAUUUCUAAAAUGAUUAAUAGGAAGAGUAACUCUUGGAAUCCGUCAUUUCUAUUACAAUAGGUAUGACUCAAAAUUUGAUAUGCAGCAAUAUUUGGUGGUGAUUAUACUGAAUGUAUCAUUUUUUUAGGACAAUGACCAAGAUUUUUUCUUGCAGUCUUGAUAUUACAUAUAAUAAAAUUCAAACCAUGCCAUGGGCAGCGAUUCUUGAAAAGGUUGUCCAGCUACAAAGUUUUCAACAGCUUUGUGUGGUUAAGGAUCUUUCUGCUCAUGAUGUGGUGAUGCAAUUGAUGCAGAAGGAAAACUACUUGAUUGGAAUGCUUAACAAGGGAGUACUUGCAUUUCCAAUCUUAAAAUGGGUCCCUGGUGCUGGUCCAACUGUCAAAUCUGGUUCAAAAGGAAAGUGUCGUCGUUUGAUACUGACUAAAACCCUUGAGUGGACCUUAAAUUGGUGCAUACUACAGAGCAUGUUUGAUAGUGGAGUUGGAAGGUUUGAAAAAAGCACACAUUCGAGAUGGCGUUGCAGUGGUGCAAUAUCUUGUCUAGUUGGAUAAGCAGGAGAUAUAUGGGGUUUCUGGUUACUUCUUGGAGGGAGACGAAGUGACUAAGAAAAAGCAAUUGUCCUCAAGGGUCAUAUUGCACUUGGGAAUGCUCAAUUUCCUAAUGGAACCAAUGGUAAUGCCCUAAACAUUCUUGCUUGAGUUCCACUAUAGAAAAAUGGUCUUGAUUAUCGGCAUGGUACAGGCCACGGAAUUGGGUCUUACCUUAAUGUUCAUGAAGGCAAGUGUAUUUUACUACUUUCCUCUAUUAUUACUGGGUAUGAGCUAUUGUCUCAAUUGUUAUAUUUGAACCUUUAUAUUUCUUUAUGGAUACUCUAGGUAUUUAAUUAUUUUAUUUGAAACUUGUAUACUAAAUAUUGUAAGUAACCGCAGACAUUUCGUUUGAUUUCAUCCAGGUAUCAAAUUAGUCUCCGUUAUAGUGUAGGUGCCCCAUAUGCUUUUAGUGCUGUCACUAAAAUUUGGCAUUAUACCAAUUGUGGUGCGAGUUGGUGUUCGAGAUUUUGACAUUGAUGGGUUACGAGACAUUUGUUGGACCCAACAUUCGGGACUUUUAGCUGGUGAUAGUCGACAUGGUGAGUCUCCUUAUGGUAGUAGUCCAAUUGAUAAUGUGAAUGAUGAUGUGCUUGCCUCUCCUUGUACCGAAAACCAUUUGGACAUUCGAUAGGAUUCUACCGCAACCAUGGCUGAACUUAGGGUUAACCAUCGCUUCUCAUCCAUCAAUGCCCAUGAAAUCAUUCGAAUCAACCAAAUCUUUGCGAGUAAGAAUGCGCUACAGAAGAAGAUCAGUCUUUAUGCACUAAGGAGAAAUUUUGAAUUCAAGGUUAAGAAGUCGGAUAGAGUCCGAUAUGAGGUUGUAUGUGCAAACGACAAUUGCAUGUGGCAAAUGCGUGCUACCAAACUACAUGGUGAUAAUACAGAGGCCUUUAUGAUUAGGGCCUUCAAGGAUGAGCAUAUUUGCUCUUUAAAUAUCAUGAAAAGGGAUCAUCGUCAAGCAACAAGUUCAGUUAUCGGAGACAUCAUCCAGCCAAUGUUUGAUGGGAUUUCAAGGCAAUACAAACCUUGAGAUAUCGUGCAUGACAUUCGCUCUAAUUACGGAGUAAACAUAAGCUACAACAAAGCAUGGGCCGCUAAGGAAGUUGCACUAUCAGGUUUGUGGGGCACGCCAGAAGAUUCAUAUGCAAAACUUCCUUUAUGGAGUCACGUUUUGAAGAGCAAAAAUCCAGGCACGUUUACUCGAAUUGAAACUGAUGAUCAAAACAGAUUUUUAUAUUUUUUCAUGGCACUUGGAGCUAGCAUUAGAGGGUUCCAGCAUAUGCGGAGAGUCGUAGCUGUCGAUGGAACUAUACUGAA